CCUACGGGUGGCUGCAGUGGGGAAUAUUGCACAAUGGGGGAAACCCUGAUGCAGCGACGCCGCGUGAGUGAAGAAGUAUCUCGGUACGUAAAGCUCUAUCAGCAGGGAAGAUAAUGACGGUACCUGACUAAGAAGCCCCGGCUAACUACGUGCCAGCAGCCGCGGUAAUACGUAGGGGGCAAGCGUUAUCCGGAUUUACUGGGUGUAAAGGGAGCGUAGGCGGGAGCGCAAGUCUGGUGUGAAAUCCCGGGGCUUAACCCCGGGACUGCUUUGGAAACUGUGCGGCUGGAGUGCAGGAGGGGUAAGCGGAAUUCCGGGUGUAGCGGUGAAAUGCGUAGAUAUAAGGAGGAACACCAGUGGCGAAGGCGGCUUACUGGACUGUAACUGACGCUGAGGCUCGAAAGCGUGGGGAGCAAACAGGAUUAGAUACCCCUGUAGUC
rnacentral:rRNA from 1 species